rnacentral:rRNA from 1 species
UUAAUCUUAUUAGUUAUAUAUUUUAAUAAAUUUUUAAUUAUAUAGAUUUUAAUUGGGGUGAUUAAGGAGCAAAUUUAAGUAACCUCCUUAUUUCUAUUACUAGUAGGUAAAAUAACCAAUUUUGUUGCUUACACUAGAGUUACCAU